rnacentral:misc_RNA from 1 species
UUUCCGUAGGUGAACCUGCGGAAGGAUCAUUAUUGGAUUUUGAAACUUCAAGCUGCUGCUGGCUCUCCUCGGAGGGCAUGUGCACGCUUGUUGUCCAUUAUUUCUCCCACUGUGCACAAAUUGUAGACCUUUCAGUAGGCCUAUGUUGGUUUUCACAAUCUCUGAAUGUAAUAGAAUGGUUUUGAAUCUUGGGAAAUACAAUACAACUUUCAGCAACGGAUCUCUUGGCUCUC